ensembl:lincRNA
CUGAGUGACACAGCGUGGAGGAGCGGAGAGCAUGCUAGAAGACACUGGAGAAAGAAGACAUUUUUGCCUUUUCUCAAACCCAUCCCAGGACACUCGCUCCUCCUUUCAAGGCAGGAGGCUGAACAGCGCUGGGGCUGGGGUGAAGCAAAUGCGGCAGAGUUGGGCUAAUACAGGGUUUAUUCGUUUAACGAGGGCGGUCUCUGAGGAACUUAUGAAAAACUGCCUGCCAUCUUUCCAAAUCUUCUCUGUCUGCAGUGACCAUGUCUUAAUCCUGAAGGAAAACGAGCAGCGUGCAUCUCCUCUGAUUGAUUACUCCUGA